CAGAUGCUAAUACCGCAUAAACCUAACACCGCAUGGUGUAGGGUUGAAAGAUGGUUUCGGCUAUCACUUUAGGAUGGACCCGCGGUGCAUUAGUUAGUUGGUGAGGUAAAGGCUCACCAAGACCGUGAUGCAUAGCCGACCUGAGAGGGUAAUCGGCCACACUGGGACUGAGACACGGCCCAGACUCCUACGGGAGGCAGCAGUAGGGAAUCUUCCACAAUGGACGAAAGUCUGAUGGAGCAACGCCGCGUGAGUGAAGAAGGUUUUCGGAUCGUAAAACUCUGUUGUUGGAGAAGAAUGUAUCUGAUAGUAACUGAUCAGGUAGUGACGGUAUCCAACCAGAAAGCCACGGCUAACUACGUG
rnacentral:rRNA from 1 species